rnacentral:lncRNA from 14 species
AGAACAACCAAGCUUUUAAAGACUCCAUUCUUGAUUCUCUUCAUCAGAGCACUCGAUACCUGUUAAAACAAACCGGUGUGGAUGUGAACAGUAACAGCAGAGAUGAACCACUCUUCUGAUUGCCUUGAGCAGCACUUGUCGGGUCCAGAAGAAGAGACUGUUGAUUGAUCCAUUAUGCACAGGGAUACAGCCUCAUGUGAUGCUGAAGGAGCCGGAGCAUUCUGCAUGGUGCAGCCCCUUGCCCACCCUGCCCCUGGUGAUGCUCUGCGGGAUGCAGCCCAUCCUCACCUUGCACUCAGCUGCCCUUCAAAUUGCUGCACACAGCAAUCCCCUUCUGCUUGAGCGUCCGCCAGAUCCAGGAGGGUGCUGCUCAGCACCCCCAUGGUACAGUGGGAGGGUCGGCAGCAUCCUCAAGCCCACAGCAUCCCAGAGCUGCAUCCUGGAGGUGCACCACAGGGCUCAGCUUGGGGCUGGAUCUGUCUAUUCCAGCUGGGAGUGGGAACCCCAAAACCACCCCUGUGUGGGGCAGAGCACAGCUGGGGUGUUGUCUGCUUCCUCCCCUUGCCCCACACUUUGCUUUUGCCCACACGAUGCUGGAGGCAGGUC